GUCCCUGUAGUGCCAUGGAUCGCGCGUUGGACUUUUCAUCCAAAAUUUGUGGGUUCGAGUCCCACGUGGGACA